AAAUCUUUACAGUCAGUUUUAGCAAGCACUGCGUCAACAUCAGUGUCCAGAAAUAUCCAGCAGCAGAACUUUAUUUACAUGAAGCAAGCCUUAAUCAACCAGAUAUACACUGCUAUCAAAGGAGUCCAUAAAUUCCAGCUGAGUUGGAAAAGUGCAAAGACACUGAAACACUACCGAAGGAGAGCAGCAUCAGAUAUAAUUCCUCAAAGGGUCGAAAAUGGGUGGUACUAACACAAGAGCUGAAAAAGCAGAGCGAGAACGUAAUGAAGCUCAAGCAAAAAAGCAAGAACUCGAGAAAGAAGUUCAAAAGCUACAACAAGAAAAAGAGUUUCAGCAAAGAACAGAAGAAGAAAGGAGAAGAGUGGACACAGAGAAUAGAAAUAGAGAACAAGAAGAAAAGACGAGGAUUCACAGAGAAAAGGAAACUUAACCACAAGUUAUCAACACUAUCAACUAAAGUUUCUGUCAACAGUUCUUUAGUGAAAUAAGAGAAAUUAUGGGAGCUAUUUAUUGUGUAAUUGCCCAUAGAGAAAAUAACUCAUAUUAGACUAUAAAUGAUUAAAACAUUAAAACAACUAUGACAUUGUUUAUUCAGAUCUAAUAAUGUUUCAGAAAACAUGAUAUCAAUAUUAUCACUUUCCACUGUAACUUCAGAGCACUAGUGAUGUCAAAAAAGGUACAUUAUGUGUCCUCACCUUAAAUAAGAAACCAUCAUCGCAAUUGUUUUUGUCUGAAGUGACCUUGAAACAUGAUACACUUUUACAGCAUGAGUUACAAAGGGUACUGUUUACCUAUGAUUGCAUGACAAUUUAAUCUAUGUAAAAGAGAAACUAAAUCAUUGUCUAUUGACGUAAUACUUGCAGAUUCGUAAAAAGAUGCUUAAUAAAAUACUUCAACAGAA